CCCCCUGAGUUCACUCUCUUCCCUCCAUCACCGAUCUGAGAGCUACCAUGCCACCCCGCGCUGCCACCUUUCUCCUCCCGGUCGACCUCCUGGAUCCGGCGCUCCUGUACAGAGCAGUGCCACCAUGCUGCACACUAGUCAGCAUUAGCGCCCCUCUUCCUCCAUGCUGUUGCUGCCCUCUUCCUCCAUGCUGCUGCUGCCUUCGACUCUGCCCCCGCACUCCGUAGCCUCCGCAUUGAGCUGCCCUCUCCUUCAACUGGCAGUGCACACAAGAUAUUUGUGUAUAUGCCUCAAACAAAAAAGUGUGUUUUCUUUUUCAUGGACAAAUCAAUGCAGCGUCAUGGACUCAUCUUCUAUAGCACAUAAGUAGGCGUGCAUGCUAGAUUGGUUCCUUCCACUACCUAGCUGAUGUUGUUUGUACCCAGACUACCCACAGUGCCUGAUGAAGCUUCAAGACCGCAAAUAGACAAGCCCAUGGAGAAACAACAUCCUUGUGUAUCUUGAGAUGCUGCAUCACUUGAUGGAACGAGAUAUGGUGUCGGGAACACAGCAGGAUUAGCAAGUAAUUUUGAGAGUAAUCUUGUAUGCGCCCUGAGCUCAGUUUGCGUCGCGAUAAAUUGUUUUCAACAUGUAAUACAUUUUUUCGCCACGUGCCAGGUGAGAUGGCGAACUGGGUGUGCUUUUUGUGUUUGCGUUGUGUGGGACCGUGGGAGAGUGAUUUUUGUUUAGAAGGUUCAGAGUUCUAUUGGGUUAAGGCGAACUCAGCUUAUCAUACAGUCUUGUUCAAACCGUGAUUUUUCU